rnacentral:rRNA from 1 species
CCCCUAGACGUUCUGGGCUGCACGCGCGCUACAAUAAUACGCACAGCGAGUAUCACCGAGCUCGAAAGGGCAAGGUAAACAAUAGAAAAGGUACUGUAAUGGUUAUAGAUCCUUGUAAUUAUUGAUCUUCAACGAGGAAUUCCUAGUAAGUAUGUGUCAUCAUCACGCACUGAUACGUCCCUGCCCUUUGUACACACCGCCCGUCGCUCCUACCGAUUGGGUGAGCCGAUGAAACUCUCGGAUGUAGGCUAUUCAUAGCCCGCAGAAGAGAUUUGAAUCGUAGCGCUUAGAGGAAGGAGGAGUCGUAACA